UACACUAGCUCUAGUGUUCAUUACAUCACUUUAUGUUGCUAACUCUAGCAAUCGUUGUUCUUUACUUUUCUUUUACUUUUGCCAUCUUUAGCAUUCUUGUCCUUUACAUUUCUUGUUCUUAUUGCCCCACUUUACUUUAACUUUACACAUUGUCAUUUUCAUCAUUCUUUACAUCACUUUGGUUCUUUGGCUCACACUAACUCUAGUGUCACUUUACUUUACGUUUACAAAUGCCACUCGAUCUAUGUCAUUGUGCCACUCUGUUCUUUUGCUCACUUUGGGUGCUCACUUUUCUCUCAUGCAUACACAUAGGGUUUUCAACAUCACAUAGUUCUCAUUCAUCAUAUUAUGCAAGUUGUACUCACAAUCAUGCAAUAUUACAUUUUCAUCAUCACUUU
rnacentral:lncRNA from 1 species